UACAGAGACUGCAAGCGUUAUUCGGAUUCACUGGGUUUAAAGGGUGCGUAGGUGGGUUGGUAAGUCAGUGGUGAAAUCUCCAGGCUUAACUUGGAAACUGCCAUUGAUACUAUCAAUCUUGAAUGCCGUGGAGGUCAGCGGAAUAUGUCAUGUAGCGGUGAAAUGCUUAGAUAUGACAUAGAACACCAAUUGCGAAGGCAGCUGGCUACACGAAUAUUGACACUGAUGCACGAAAGCGUGGGGAUCAAACAGG
rnacentral:rRNA from 1 species